GUUUAGUUUCCUUUUUUUUCUGUUUGGUUGCUGAGAAAAUGUAGGAAAUUGAUUGGAUAAUUAGAGUAUUAUACAUAGUUAGGAUGUUUCUGCCGGUUUAGUUUUUGGCACUUCAAGAAAUUAACUGAGAGAGUGAGAGAGAAAAAAUCCCUAAAGCAUGAGCUUUGAAGCUUGAAGCUUUUUCCAUUUGGUGGAUAGGCAUAUUUUUAGAGUGCUGCAGUGGGAUUCGCUUUUUUUUUUU
rnacentral:misc_RNA from 1 species